rnacentral:snRNA from 1 species
AUACUUACCUGGCACUGGGGUAUGCCUUGAUCAACAAGGAGGCUCCCCCGAGCAGAGGCCACUCAUUGCACAGCGAGUGGUUAACGUUAGCCACAUUCGCAAAUUGCGAUUGCUUGGGUGGCUUAACUUUUGAUAGCGGGGCUUGCGUUCGCGCUGCCCCUAU